rnacentral:rRNA from 1 species
AGUGAACGCUGGCGGUAGGCCUAACACAUGCAAGUCGAACGGCAGCACAGUAAGAGCUUGCCCUUACGGGUGGCGAGUGGCGGACGGGUGAGGAAUACAUCGGAAUCUACUUUUUCGUGGGGGAUAACGUAGGGAAACUUACGCUAAUACCGCAUACGACCUACGGGUGAAAGCAGGGGGUCUUCGGACCUUGCGCGAUUGAAUGAGCCGAUGUCGGAUUAGCUAGUUGGCGGGGUAAAGGCCCACCAAGGCGACGAUCCGUAGCUGGUCUGAGAGGAUGAUCAGCCACACUGGAACUGAGACACGGUCCAGACUCCUACGGGAGGCAGCAGUGGGGAAUAUUGGACAAUGGGCGCAAGCCUGAUCCAGCCAUACCGCGUGGGUGAAGAAGGCCUUCGGGUUGUAAAGCCCUUUUGUUGGGAAAGAAAAGCAGCAGGUUAAUACCCCGCUGUUCUGACGGUACCCAAAGAAUAAGCACCGGCUAACUUCGUG